UAGGGAAUCUUCCACAAUGGACGCAAGUCUGAUGGAGCAACGCCGCGUGAGUGAAGAAGGUUUUCGGAUCGUAAAGCUCUGUUGUUGGUGAAGAAGGAUAGAGGCAGUAACUGGUCUUUAUUUGACGGUAAUCAACCAGAAAGUCACGGCUAACUACGUGCCAGCAGCCGCGGUAAUACGUAGGUGGCAAGCGUUGUCCGGAUUUAUUGGGCGUAAAGCGAGCGCAGGCGGAAUGAUAAGUCUGAUGUGAAAGCCCACGGCUCAACCGGGGAACUGCAUCGGAAACUGUCAUUCUUGAGUGCAGAAGAGGAGAGUGGAAUUCCAUGUGUAGCGGUGGAAUGCGUAGAUAUAUGGAAGAACACCAGUGGCGAAGGAGGCUCUCUGGUCUGCAACUGACGCUGAGGCUCGAAAGCAUGGGUAGCGAACAGG
rnacentral:rRNA from 1 species